UAACAUUACAGGAAAUCCAGAGAUGAUGUCUAAUGUUGAUUUAAUGAUAAAUACUUGUGUAUUACUUAGGAAUUCUGACAUGCUAAAUGCCAAGAAAAAAAAUCAGCCGAAAACAUCAGAAGAGAUUUUUGCGGAGGAAGACUAGGACAAGAACUCAGGAACCAGUGCACAAGCUAGACUUGGCAAGCUGAUUGGGCAGGGCACAUCCUGUGGCAGGUAACAUCACCAGCCAGAGGUCCCCAACUGGUAAGGAGACAAAGAAAAAUCCUGCAUCAAUGAUGUUUCCACCUAACUGUCAAAGGGUUCAGAGAGAGAGAAAAAAGGAAAUCAGAGAAUUAAUAAAGCAAAUUGGACAAAAUGUAAGCAACUUUUGAAUCUUGAUU
rnacentral:lncRNA from 1 species